GGAUGAAGGCAGAAUUAGGCGAUUGAGUUUCAAACAUCAAUCAGAAUCAGGCUUAUUAUCACUGUAUUACAUGAUGUGAAAUGUGUUGUUCUGAGGCAGGAGUACUGUUAAAAACAUUAAUUUCUCUAAAUUACAAAAUAAAUGAAAACACAUUCCAGCUCCAGGGACAACACAUUCCAAGUCCAGUCCAAAGUGCACAAAAACACCGCUGGUCCCUGUUUGUACAGAAGAUUGUGGCAGAGAACCCAAGUCCAAACUCGCUUUUUAAAAUCAAUAAUCCUGUGUGAUUAAUUCCUUGCUCCAAGCUCAGUAAUUAGUUUCAAAAAUAUUCAUCUUAUUACUUCAACGCUGUGACCCUAUCAGCUCUUUGUGGAGCAUUUCCUCAUAACUGUAAAAAUAGUUCUCACCCCAACAGACACUCAAUUCCAUUUUGAUAAUUGCACAUUUGUUUCCAUCCAACAGUGAAUGAAUUCUGGAUCAGAAAUCAGCCCAGAAUUAAGUAGUUCCCUCUUAACAUUAACUCUUUAAAGUUUCUUCCUCUGUGGACUCUUAGUUGAAUUGUCUUCUGUUAUUUGGGGUAGCAUGGUAACAGAGCAGCUAGCACAAUUGCUUUGUGCGCCAGGGUUCGUUGAUUCCCACCAGUCUUUCAGGAAUUUUUACAUUCUCCCCAUGACUGCAUGGGUUUCUUCUGGGUGCACUAGUUUCCUCCUACAUUCCAAAGAUGUACAGUGGUCACCAACCUUUUUAAGCCCAAGAUCCCCUACCUCGGUCUUGGUGAAAGGUGAGAUCGACUAGUUAGACGCAUGUGCACCGAGGCAGAAAAGACUGGAAGUAGAAAUAAUGUAUAAACACCAGGGGUACCCACCCUUUUUCGCACCGUGGACCUGUUUAAUAUUGACAAUAUUCUUGCGGAACGGCCGACUUGGGGGGGGGGGGGGGGUGUUAAAUGCGACCGGAAUACACCAAUACAGGUUCCUUAUGUCCAGUCUAUUCCGCAAUUUAGUUUUCACAGCUCUCGGCACUUGGUUUCUGUCACGCUUGCUCAUGUUUUUUCCGCUGAAAAAUCUCAACGUGUUUGUUUAAGUGCGGGGUGCUUGGACUCAAGGUGCCGAAGCUGUUUUGAGGACUUCAUUGGCUUGGACAGCCACCCGGCCUGAACUGCAGCCUCCACCCGCCUGCCGCCAGCCAGCUGGUUGUGGGUGGGGUGAGAGGACAAGGUCAGGGCCGGUGGUCCCCGUACCGGGGACACGGCCCGGAGAGAGCGGCUGACUGAAUGAGGAGUGUGACAGGCCCGCGCCUGCCCCCCUUGUCGGAUCUACUGGCCAACAAAAGUUUGUUUCAGUAGAUCGCAGCGUGGUAGCUGCUCUGAUACUUAGGAAACCUUGAGCCCGAGUUAGGUUGUCUACGAAUAUUUUAGCAUCUGGUUCCCCACGAACAUUCGGUGUGGUGAACAGGUUUAGAGGCGGCACCCAUCUGUCCGCGCUCCAGGCCAGUACCAAUGGCACUUCCUGCCGUGAGGGUAUCACUGCAUUUAGGCGAUUGAUGACCUCGCGUGGGUUCAAGUUCAACAGUGGGCGUGACAGGGAAUGAGGAAAGGUGCAGCUGACUCAUAUCGUUUCCUCGCGACCCAGUGGUUGGGGACAACUGAAGUACACUGUGUAGUGCGGGGGAGCUACACGCAUGCGCAUUGGGCAGAAAGAACGGAACUAAAACCCCGCAACCCGGAAACAAUCUCUCAACAGUAUUUUGUAUUUAUUUUUCAAUUUUCUUUCCGGAAUCUACUGGGAAAGUCUCAAAGAUCAACGGAUUGGCAACCACUAACGUACGGGUUAAGCACAGCAUCCUCGCAAACCUCCUGACAGACUGAAUAUUUGAAUGGACAGUUUCGUUUGUUAGACUGAAUGCUGAAUCUGCCAUGUUUUUCAGGUAUUUUGUAGUGGCAAACUGUUUCUGAGGGAUUUACAGUAGGUACAAAGACACAUGAUAGAAUCAAUGAAAAGCUACGAAGACAGGAGUGUGGAGGAAACCAGACCACCUGGAGGAAAACCAAGACGGUGCCGGAAUUUAACUUUGAAGCCAAGCUGUAAUGUCGUCACGCUAAUCGUUAUGGCGGCCUCUGAAGUACAUAUGCCCACGAAGUGAAGCAAGUUGCAGAAGUGUCCACACACAAGGUGAAUGACAAGAAAUUAUAUAGUCGUGGUGGUGGGAUGUGUUAGCGGGUGGAGGCUCUGAUCAGUCUUUCUACUUGGGGAAAGUAACUCUUUUUGAUUCUGAUGGUCCUGGUGUGGAAGUUACAUAGCCUCCUCCCUGAUGGGAUUGGAACAAACAGACCAUGAGCAGAGUGGGUGGGAUCCUUCAUGAUGUAAUUGGCCUUACAUAGAAAUCUACAGCACAUUACAGACCCUUCGGCCCAGAAUAUUGUGCUGACCAUGUAACCUACUCUAGAAACUGCCUAGAGUUUCCCUAGUGCAUAGCCCUCUAUUUUCCUAAGCUCCAUGUACCUAUCUAAGAGGGUCUUAAAAAGAUCCUAUUAUAUCCACUUCCACCACUGCAGCAUGUAGUGCAUUCCACGCACCCACCAAUCUGUGCGGAAAAACUUACGCCUGAUAUCCCCUCAGUGCCUAUUUCCAAGCACCUUAAAUCUAUGCCCCCUUGUGUUAACCAUUUGAGCCCUGGGAAAAAGCCUCUGGCUAUCCACAUGAUCAAUGCCCCUCAUCAUCUUAUACACCUCUACCAAGUCAUCCUCCGUUGCACCAAGCAGAAAAGGCCACGUUCACUCAACCUAAUCUCAUAAGGCACACCCUCUAAUCCAGGAAACAUCCUUGUAAAUCUCCUCUGCACUCUCUAUAGUAUACGCAUCCUUUCUGUAGUGAGGUGACCAGAAAUGAGCACAGUACUCCACGUGGGGUCUGACCAAGGUCUUACAUUACCUUACUGCUCCUGAACUCAAUCCGACAGUUGACGAAGGCCAACGCACCAUAUGCCUUCUUAACACUAUCAACCUGCGUAGCAGCUUUGAGCGUCCUAUGGACAUGGACGCCAACAUCUCUCAGAUCCUCCACACUGCCAAGAGUCUUCCCAUUAAUAUUAUAUUCGGCCUUCAAAUUUGACCUACCAAAAUGAACCUCUUCAAGUCAAGUCUAUUGUCAUUUCGACCAUAAACUACUGGUACAACAGAAACAACGUUCCUCUAGGACCCUGGUGCUACAUGAAACAACACAAAACUACACUAGACUAUGAAAAAACAUUAAAAAACAGCACUACAGACCUGCACAGAACAACAUAAAGUGCAUAAAACAGUGCAGGGCAGUACAAUUAAUAAACUUCACACUUAUCUGGGUUGAACUCCAUCUGCCACUUCUCAGCCCAGUUCUGCUUCCUAUCGAUGUCCCGCAUUAACCUCUGACAACCCUCCAGACUGUCCACAACAGCCCCAACCUUUGUGUCAUCAGCAAACUUACUAAUCCACCCUUCCACUUCCUCAUCCAGGUCAUUUAUAAAAAUCACAAACAGGAAGGGUCCCAGAACAGAUCCCUUUGCACCACCCCUGGUCACCGACCUCCAUGCAGAAUACAAACCAUCUACAACCACCUUUUGCCUUCUGUGGGCAAGCAAUUCUGGAUCCACAAAGCAAGGUCUCCUUGGAACCCAUGACUCCUUACUUUCUGAAGGUGCCUUGCAUGGGGAACCUUAUCAAACACCUUAUUGGAAUUCAUGUACGCUAUAUCCACUGCUCUGUCUUCAUCAAUGCAUUUUGUUACGUCCUCAAAGAAUUCAAUCAGGCUCGUAAGGCACAACCUGCCCUUGACAAAGCCAUGCUGAUUAUCCCUAAUCAGAUUAUGUCUCUCCAAAUGCUCAUAAAUCCUGUCCCUCAGGAGCUUCUCCAACAACUUGCCCACCACUGAAGUAAAACUCACUGGUGUAUAAUUUCCUGGGUUAUCUCUACUCCCUUUCUUGAACAAGGAAACAGCAUUUGCAACCCUCUAAUCCUCCGGUACUUCUCCCGUCCCUACUGAUGACACAAAGAUCAUUGCAAGAGGCUCAGCAAUCUCCUCCCUUGCCUCCCACAGUAGUCUAGGGUAUAUCUCACCCAAUCCCAGUGAUCUAUCUAACUUAAUGCUUUUAUAAAGCUCCAGCACAUCCUCUUUCUUGACACCUAAACGCUCAAGUAUUUCAAGUUCUCCCAAAUUGUCUGCUCUUAUCCCUCUCCAGCGCUAUGGUGAUGGAGAUCGAGUUGUGAUCAAUACCUUCAACAUGCUCUCCCACCCAGAGAUCUGACACCUGGCUAGGUUAAUUUCCCAAUAUCAGAUCAAGUGAAGCCUCUCCUCUAGUUUGCUUAUCUACAUAUUGUGUCAGGAACCCUUCCUGGGAGUCAGCAGGAAACACUCAUGGAGUGAGAACUGUUUCAGAUUCACUCCAUAACCUUUACUUUUUUAAACCUAUGAUCACUCUUUUUAAAUUACUUUUACCUACACCAAAAGAUUAUUGCUACUUUUUUGGACUUAUCUUUAAGAGAUUAUUGUGAAUUUUGAAGAAAUGAAUACAGAAAUGGCUCUUAGAUCUAAAGGGCGAGAACCUGGAAAAGAUUCUAACAGGAACGGGAAGAAGAAAAAGACCUAUCCUAAGCACACUGAAUUGACUUAUGAAAUGUUAUUGGAGAUAUUAAAUGAAAAAUUUGAAGCACAACGACAAAUUUUCAAACAAGAUAUAAAGGCCUUUCAGGAUUAUAUGGUUAAGACGGAUUCAGUAGUUAACCAGCAGCAAGCUCUAAUUGCAACUUUGCAAGAGGACGCUCGGAAGCGAGACUUGAUAAUCGAAAAACUGGAGCAGAAAUUAUCUUCGACGAUUAAACAGGUGGAAACACUUAAAGCCAAGAGUGUCGACUUUGAGAAUCGGUCCAGAAGACAGAACUUACGAAUACUUGGUCUCCCGGAAGGUAUUGAACAAGGGGAUGCCUCGAAGUACUUUGCUCAACUUUUAAAGGAUGUGUUCCCUUCUGUAUUCGCAGACAGUCCUCUGUUACUCGAUCGCGCUUGGUGAUGCGUCGACCACCAAGUGCUUCAGCUAAACCACCGGUUGUAAUUGUCCGAUUUCAUUAUGUGCAUGUUAAAGAGCAACUUAUUCGUGUAGCUCGGCGCGUAGGGAUGGUCAAAUUCCAAGAAUUCAAUUUUCGAUUAGUGGAGAAUUUUAGUCCAGAAGUAAUGAAGACAAGGCUUCUUUUUAAACCUCUGAUGUCCGAAUGUUAUGAGAAAAAUCUAAAACCUGCGCUUUUAUACCCUGCGAAGCUCAGAAUCUCGCCUCCCAAUGCAACUCGGCGUGUUUUCUUUUCUACAUUUGAAGCGAGAAGCUUUUUGAAUGAGAACUUCCCUACUGCUACGGAUUCUCAUCUCUAAUAAACGAGUGAUUUUGAUCGUUGCAAGAUGGUUUUUGUUUCCAAAACCAGAUUUUGUUUCUGGCUAUUGGUGUAGGUUUACUCUAUAUUUUAUACUCCAGUUAAAGUUUUUUUUUGAUGUACUAAUCUUUUUAUUUUAUUUACUUUAAUCAAUGUACUUUAUCUUUGGACAUUAUUAUUAAUCCUUCGAAGGUGAUUUUUUUUUACUAAGAUAGCGGUUUCUUCUCUAAAAUACUUCUGGCUUUUUUUUUUGAUUUCGCCAUUUUUUUUCCUCUCGUCUUCUUCCUAUAAUGCAUUUCUUAUCACAGUUUAAAUUUUUUUUUGGUUUGUUUGGGUUUUAACCCGAUUUAUAAGUUACUAGUGAUUAUAUUCCUUUUGUUUUUUUUAACUAGCAAUUAUAUUAAGAAGUUUGGUUUCAGUAUAGUGAUUAUUAUUUCUUUAGAGUUUGGGUGGAUCUUUUUUAUCCUUUAUAUACGGAGUUGCCUUCUGCUGAUAUGGGGGUAGAUUUAGUUUAAUUUCUCUUUUUUCCCAGCCUUUUCCUGGCUGGGGAGAACUUUUCUCCUUUUGGGUGGGGGGUGGGGGGUCUUUUUCUAAAUCUUAUGUUCUUUACACCAGUUUUUUUUAGUUUUUACAUUUGAGCUGAUUUUAAACUACUAAAAUGUCUGAUGUCAUCACUUCCAGGUCCGCCCCUUAUUUUUGUUCCUCUUCCGGGUGCACGAGGUCAUAAUUUGGUUAACUCUUUAUAUACCAAAGGGUUGAUUUCAGAAAUAUGGCUCAGACCAUUAAUUUUGUCUCUUGGAAUACUAAUGGCUUAAACCAUCCGAUUAAACGGAAAAAGAUUUUUAAAGUAUUCCAAAGACUGAAUGCACAUAUUAUUUUUGCACAAGAAACUCAUGUGAGGAAAGAGGAUAAUUAUCACUUUUUUAGGUUUUGGUGGGGUCAACAGUACAAUUCGAAUUUGAAUGCUAAAGUAAAGAGAGUUUCAAUUUUUAUUGACUCCUCUAUUGCAUUUGUCCAACACGAUAUCUUUUUGGAUCCGAAUGGUAGAUUUUUGUUAAUUACUGACUUACUUUUUAACAAAAAGGUUGCUAUGGUUAAUGUGUAUGUUCCAAAUGUGGAUUAUCCCGAUUGUUUUAAGUCCUUUUACUGUUUUACUUCUCUACCUAAUCUAAAUGAAUAUAAGUUAAUAAUGGGUGGUGACUUUAAUUGUUGUUUAAAUCCUUUGUUGGACAGAUCUAUAUCUACUCAGACUUCGGCCACUUAUAUUAACUCUUUUUUGACUGAUAAUGGAAUUCUUGAUAUUUGGAGAUUUCGGCAUUCUAAGGACAAAGAGUUUUCAUUUUUCUCACAUGUUUAUCAUUCCAACUCAAGAAUUGAUUAUUUUUUUAUUGACUCUUGUUUUAUUCCAUCGAUAAUUGGUUGUAAUUAUGAUAUUAUAGCCAUCUCUGACCAUGUUCCAUUAAAACUUUCUAUUAAAUUUACGG